UCUCUCGCAACCAUCUCUGUCUUUUCGUCUCGUUUUCUCGCUCUCUCUCUUCAUCUGUAGAAAAAAUUCAAUAGGGUUUUGUUUUGGUUAGUUGAUUUUGCAUAGAAUAGAAGAAACAAGGGUUGGAGGAGGCUGUGAUGUUGAUAAACUACCUAUUUUCUGAGGGAAGAUAUUCCCUUAUGAUUACAAAAUUUACCAAUGGAUCCUUCUGAGCCUUCACUCUCUUCUUUCUUUUCUUUUCUUUAUUUUAUUUUUUCUUCGUUUUUAUUUUCUGUUUGAGGAGAACCAUUGACGUGAUGAUAUGUUUUUCGGAAUUUAUAGUGUCGACUUAAAAUAACAGACUACAAUUAUCUGAUCAAUGGUUUCUCUAUUUUUUUUCUUUCUCCCUGUGUCUUUACUUUUGAAACCCAAUUAUUAUUUUUCAUAUCAGCCUAAUUGUUUGCGUUUGAACUUUGGAUUGGAGUAGCAUUAGG
rnacentral:lncRNA from 1 species